rnacentral:rRNA from 1 species
GGCGGAAAAAUAAGUCUAAUGUGAAAGCCCUCGGCUUAACCGAGGAACUGCAUCGGAAACUGUUUUUCUUGAGUGCAGAAGAGGAGAGUGGAACUCCAUGUGUAGCGGUGGAAUGCGUAGAUAUAUGGAAGAACACCAGUGGCGAAGGCGGCUCUCUGGUCUGCAACUGACGCUGAGGCUCGAAAGCAUGGGUAGCGAACAGGAUUAGAUACCCUGGUAGUCCAUGCCGUAAACGAUGAGUGCUAAGUGUUGGGAGGUUUCCGCCUCUCAGUGCUGCAGCUAACGCAUUAAGCACUCCGCCUGGGGAGUACGACCGCAAGGUUGAAACUCAAAGGAAUUGACGGGGGCCCGCACAAGCGGUGGAGCAUGUGGUUUAAUUCGAAGCAACGCGAAGAACCUUACCAGGUCUUGACAUCUAGUGCAAUCUGUAGAGAUACGGAGUUCCCUUCGGGGACGCUAAGACAGGUGGUGCAUGGCUGUCGUCAGCUCGUGUCGUGAGAUGUUGGGUUAAGUCCCGCAACGAGCGCAACCCUUGUUAUUAGUUGCCAGCAUUAAGUUGGGCACUCUAAUGAGACUGCCGGUGACAAACCGGAGGAAGGUGGGGAUGACGUCAAGUCAUCAUGCCCCUUAUGACCUGGGCUACACACGUGCUACAAUGGGCAGUACAACGAGAAGCAAGCCUGCGAAGGCAAGCGAAUCUCUGAAAGCUGUUCUCAGUUCGGACUGCAGUCUGCAACUCGACUGCACGAA